rnacentral:rRNA from 1 species
GAGCGUUGUCCGGAGUUACUGGGCGUAAAGCGCUUGUAGGCGGUCCACCAAGUUUGGGGUGACAGUUGCCGACUUAAUCGGCAAAGUGCCUCAAAGACUGGCGGACUUGAGGGCCACAGAGGGACAUGGAACUCCAGGUGUAGUGGUGAAAUGCGUAGAUAUCUGGAAGAACACCAAAGGCGAAGGCAGUGUCCUGGGUGGUCGCUGACGCUGAGAGGCGAAAGCCAGGGGAGCGAACGGG